CUACGGGCUGCAGCAGUCGAGAAUCUUCCGCAAUGGGCGCAAGCCUGACGGAGCAAUGCCGCGUGAGGGAUGACGGCCCUAGGGUUGUAAACCUCUGUCAGAAGGGACGAAGAACGUGACGGUACCUUCAGAGGAAGCCAUGGCUAACUACGUGCCAGCAGCCGCGGUAAUACGUAGAUGGCGAGCGGUUAUUCGGAUUUACUGGGCGUAAAGGGUCCGUAGGGGGUCUGCCAAGUCUGAUGUGAAAUCCUGCGGCUCAACCGCGGAACUGCAUUGGAAACUGGCGGACUAGAGUGUGCGAGGGGUGAGCGGAAUUCCUGGUGUAGCGGUGGAAUGCGUAGAUAUCAGGAAGGACACCGAUGGCGAAGGCGGCUCACUGGCGCAUCACUGACCCUGAGGGACGAAAGCGUGGGUAGCAAACAGGAUUAGAUACCCGAGUAGUC
rnacentral:rRNA from 1 species